GUGGGGAAUAUUGGACAAUGGGGGCAACCCUGAUCCAGCCAUGCCGCGUGUGUGAAGAAGGCCUUCGGGUUGUAAAGCACUUUAAGCGGGGAGGAAGGCCUGAUGGCUAAUAUCCAUCGGGAUUGACGUUACCCGCAGAAUAAGCACCGGCAAACUUCGUGCCAGCAGCCGCGGUAAUACGAAGGGUGCGAGCGUUAAUCGGAAUUACUGGGCGUAAAGCGCGCGUAGGUGGUUAAGUAAGCGAUCUGUGAAAGCCCCGGGCUUAACCUGGGAACUGCAGGUCGAACUGCUUGGCUAGAGUAUGGUAGAGGGGUGUGGAAUUUCCUGUGUAGCGGUGAAAUGCGUAGAUAUAGGAAGGAACAUCAGUGGCGAAGGCGACACCCUGGACCGAUACUGACACUGAGGCGCGAAAGCGUGGGUAGCGAACAGGAUUAGAAACCCCUGUAGUCC
rnacentral:rRNA from 1 species